CUGGUCUUCCAGCUAUACCAGUUCAUGAAACUGUUGCCCCUGAUGCAACUCCAUCCUUAGAUGUUAACAAGGGGUCACGAUCUGAUUUAUCAGCAAAAUCUGAGGCUGAUGUACCUGCUGAUUUGGAGAAUGAAAAGAUAUAUUUUGAUGUUCCUGCCACACAAUCCUCUUUAGCUACAGAAACCGUAUCAGCAAUGGAGGGUGUUGGUGUGUCUUCAACAUCUGUCGCCAGUGGCGCUGUUGCUACUGCUUCAACUGCUCCCUCAAAGGUUCCAUCAAAAGUUUUGCGUAAAAAGCGGACUGUGGGUGUGGUAUCCACAUUAAGGUCUAAUAAGAAAGUGUCGAGCUUGGUUGACAAGUGGAAAGCUGCCAAAGAGGAGCUGCAUGCAGAGGAGGAAGAAGAACGUGAAAGUGCUCUUGACAAGUUGGAGAAGAAACGACAACGAGAAAUAGAGGAAUGGCGUGCUCAGCAAAUUGCAAGUGGGGAGGCCAAAGAUAACGCUAAUUUCCAGCCACUUGGCGGCGAUUGGCGAGAGCGUGUGAAACGAAAAAGAGUAGAAAAG
rnacentral:misc_RNA from 1 species